rnacentral:rRNA from 1 species
UACGGAGGGGGCUAGCGUUGUUCGGAAUUACUGGGCGUAAAGCGCGCGUAGGCGGAUAUUUAAGUCAGGGGUGAAAUCCCGGGGCUCAACCCUGGAACUGCCUUUGAUACUGGAUAUCUGGAGUUCGGGAGAGGUGAGUGGAAUUCCGAGUGUAGAGGUGAAAUUCGUAGAUAUUCGGAGGAACACCAGAAGCGAAGGCGCUCACUGGCCCGAUACUGACGCUGAGGCGCGAAAGCCAGGGGGAGCAAACGGG